GCCGGGGUGGCGGAAUAGGCAGACGCACAGGACUUAAAAUCCUGCGGUAGGUGACUACCGUGUCGGUUCGAGCCCGACCCUCGGCACCA
rnacentral:tRNA from 2 species